AGCCCCACCUGAGAGGCAGGCAGAGAACACACAAUCCCCAGUGUGUGGGGCCCUCAGCCCCUUUCACUGCAAGUGUCUGUGUGAAGACAGAGACCACCACUCCCUCAUCAAAACACAGAUUAUGGGGAUUUAUGUCUCUCGGGGAACUGAGGCAGGAGAGUAAGGCAUGGCAAAGAGCUGACCAGUGGAGUAUGACCUGUCAAUUAUGUAGGCCUGUCAAUCAAAGAAAUUGAGGACACAAACCCAGAGAAACGUGCAAGCCCUGCACUGGAUGCCAAUCAGACCAUGCAGUCCUCAGCUCUCCUGGGGUGAGAUCAAGUGGGGUUUUGACUGGACAGUCUACAGAUGACAUCAGGACAGGGGUUAUAAAAGACAGGAGCCAUGUGCUCACCUGCAACCCUCAUUCAGCGCUUAUUUUCCCUUUUAGCUUCCAUCACUCCUUCUUUUGCCCUAAAUAAAUGUUCAGCUUUCACAUUCAUCGAUUGUCCUGUCCAAUUCUUUGAACAAGGCAACCAGAGCCUGGAAAAAACUGCAGGACCCCACACCAUUGGGCAAGACUGUUGCCACCCUUCAGUGGCGCUUGGAAAUGCCACAUGGAUUGUGGACCAGGCCGACAAGGGUGGGGAGCCCCAAACAGAGGGAGAUGAAUUAUCCCAUCCCAAGAAGAAAUGAAGGCAACUUGCUGACCAUCCAAGGUCCCCACGCAUCCUGCCACAGCUUGCUGAGGUCCUGCUGCGGCUGGACAGGCUCCCACAGUGACUUGCUGAGCUGUCUAAGGUCCUGCUGCUUCGACAUUGAAUUCAGGGCCGGCGAGCCAAAGGAAGAGCUGAGUUGGCAGAUUGUCUACAUUGACCUGUGGUGAGUGACAGGAGUGGAGUCAUUCCAUAAAUAGGGGGGCUCCAGCGAAUGACAUUCUGGGACCAGGCAGGGCUGGCAAGUACAAGGGGCAGCAGCAAUUUCAGUCAAUUGCUCCCUUCCUGAACAGGAUUGUUGGAAUGAACUAGGCCUGGGUCACGUGACCUGGCUGAGACCCAAUAGGUUAUCUGAAAUCAAGUCCCUACAGUGGUGGCACACACCAACCCCACUAACCCAGUGAAAUCUCAGAAGUUCGACUGACAGUGCAGACAACAGCAGCUUGACUGACCCAGAGGGGUGGCAUGCAAAGAAAUGCAGUGUACGUCACAGCAACUUGACUGAUCCCUGCUCUGUGGCACUCCAGCUAUCACCUGCAGCACCUCUGGGCCCCCAGCAAGACCUGUAGCUGCAGGCCUGGGAGUGACUGGGUGCCCCCUGGCUGCUCCUCCCCCUGAUCCCAUCGCAGCUGCCAACCCACAAGGGAGGUGGUGCAAAGUCCGCUGCUGCCUCCCCUGCUGUGCUCCAGCCACUGCCACCCAGAGGAGAGGUGACUGCAAAGUAAUACAGUGCGGGUCACAGCGCUUGACUGAUCCAGAGAGGAGGUGACAGCAUAUGCUGACAUGGCAGUGGGAAGGGUCAUCUAGUCAGCACGCUUCAGAAGAAUUGUAACCAACAAAGAAAGAAACUGGGGCCUCCUGAAAGAAGCAAAAAAGAUGGGAAGAGGAAGCAACAACAAAAAUUCCCCAGGUCCCAACAUUGAGAACAUUGACCCAGGACAGGUAAAUACAAAGGAAAAAGAGAACAGCAAACAUGCAAUAUCAGACACAGCACAAGUGGACAUAAAGAGAUAUAUUUGGGACCUCAUGGAUGAGUUCAAAAGUGAAAUAUUUAGCCAAACAAAGCAAGAUAUAAGAAAAUUAAUUAAAGAGAUACUAAGCACCCCUCAAGCAGACACAGUUGGAAAAAGGGAGGAACUCAAAGGAGAGAACCAUUUGAUGAAGAAUAUAAAAAAAUAUAGAAUACAUGAAGCCAAUUCAAAGAGAUCACUAGGAAAUUAAAACUCUAUGGAAAGAUGGCAAAUCAGCUUGAAAGAAACUAAGGAUAGAUUAUCCAAACUGGAGGACAAUUUUGCAAUAUGGGAGUAUGAAAGGAAAAACUUUUUAAAAUAACAAGGAAACAAGCAGUAACAAUACAAGGGCAACAAGAUGACAAAAGGAUCUAUAACUUGAGAAUAAAGAAUGUGAAUGAAGAAGCUGGAGUAAAAACAAAGGAACUACAAAGGUUAUUCACAGAAAUAAUUAAGGAAAACUUCCCAAACAUAGGAAAAGGAAAUGAUAUUUUGAUAUAUGAGGCAUGCAGAACUCCAGCCACCUACAACCAAAACAGAGCUACACCCAGGCAUAUAAUAAUCAUGAUCCCAGAAAUUCAAUAGAAGAACAGAAUAUCAAAAGCUGUUAGAGACAAGAAACAGAUAACCUAUAAAAGAAUGCCCAUCAGAAUCAUGGCAGACUUCUCACCACAAACCAUCAAGUCAAGAAGAGCCUGGAGCAAAAUAUUCCAAGCCCUGAAAGAAAAUAAUCUCCAGCUCAGACUGAUAUACCCUGCUAAACUAUCUCUAGAAAUUAGUGGAGAAACAAGAUGCUUCCAAGACAAAGCAGAAGUUGGGAAAUUCACAACCACCAAUCCAACUCCACAGAGAAUACUGCAGGGCAUUCUAGAGACAGAGAGAAAAGUACUAGGAUUCCAGGCACAAUGGCAGAGAGGCCUCAAUGAAUGGAGCAGAAAACAGAAUGAAGAAGAUAAGCAAACAACUGAUGGCAAAAAACAGCAUAACAGAAAUGAGGCAGAGAAGAUUUUAUUCAAAACUGAUAUGACUGAUAGUAUCAAGUUUGAGAGUAUAGUCAACUACACUGAAGAUGAUAAGACUCCAUGAUACACAUUCUGGUUUGAUAAAUGCCGGUUUUUGAAGUUCUAUACUAUAUACAAAGUUGUAUUUUUAGUAAUACUGUUAUGUACUAAUAUAUUCAAUUAUACUAUGUCUGAUGAUAUAGCCAAUUCUAUUGGAGAUAACAAGAGACAACACAGGAACCAUGGUGGCACUCUUUGUACAACAGUCUUAUAUGUUUAUUUCAUUUCAUGUGUUUAUAACAAUAUGUUUUUUUUGCCUUGCCUUGUUUCUCCCUCUAAUAUAAAAAGGAUAGAAAUACAUGUAAAGACUCAUGCAUGUGUAAAAUCUAUAAACAGUUUAUGAGAACUGAUCUUAUGACACAUGAUGAAAUGAACAGAUACUUUGAAGAAAAAAGAAACACUAAAAUACCCAGUCCUGAUCCUGAAGUGUCAUAAUGUGAAACCCAGCAAUAGUAUUAUUCUUUGUUCAGAGUGAUAUUAGCCUGCUUGGGUUUAUUCAUUGUCAACAUAAUUGAAGAUAUGGAUAACUGCAUGUAUGUUUAAGUGUAUAGGAUUGAUAAUCAUAUUUCUAAGUUUUUGUUGGAUAGUUGAACAGAACUAGCUGCAAUCUCACUGUUUGAAUCCCUACUUUAUAUGUUCCACUUUAGUAUCUUGAAUAACUAGUGAUUUCUUAGUGUUUAUUUUUUUGAAAUUAUGUAUUAUUUCUACUUGUUUUUCUGUUCUGUUUAGUCUUUCUUUAAAUUAAAUUUUUUAAAAAAGGCACUACAGUACCCAGUGCUGAACACAGAGUGUCAUGAUGCGAAAUCCAGAAAUACUAUUAUUCUUUGUUCAGAAUGAUUUUAACCUGCUUUAGUUUGUUUAAUCUAAACAUAAAUGAAGAUAUGGAUAACUGCAUGUAUGUUUAAGUGUAUAGGAUUGAUAACCAUGUUACUAAGUUUCUGUUGGACAGUUGAACAGAACUGUUUGUGGUCUCGCUGUUUGAAUUCCCACUUUACAUAUUCCACUCUUGUACCUUGAACAACUAUUUGUAAAAUGACAAUAUAUAAACAUCAACUAGUGAUUUCUUACUGUUUAUUUUUUUCUCUGAACAUAUGUAUUAUUUCUACCUAUUUUCUGUUUUGCUUAGUCUUUCUUUAAAUAAAAUUUAAAAAAAGAAAAUA